rnacentral:rRNA from 1 species
GAGUUUGAUUCUGGCUCAGGAUGAACGCUAGCUACAGGCUUAACACAUGCAAGUCGCGGGGCAGCAUGUUGGUUGCUUGCAACCGAUGAUGGCGACCGGCGCACGGGUGAGUAACGCGUAUCCAACCUACCUAUUACCACGGGAUAACCCGGCGAAAGUCGGACUAAUACCGUAUGUGGUCUUCAAGUGGCAUCAGCAGUAGACUAAAGGUUUGGCGGUAAUAGAUGGGGAUGCGUCCGAUUAGUUAGUUGGCGGGGUAACGGCCCACCAAGACGUCGAUCGGUAGGGGUUCUGAGAGGAAGGUCCCCCACACUGGAACUGAGACACGGUCCAGACUCCUACGGGAGGCAGCAGUGAGGAAUAUUGGUCAAUGGGCGUAAGCCUGAACCAGCCAAGUAGCGUGCAGGAUGACGGCCCUAUGGGUUGUAAACUGCUUUUAUGCAAGAAUAAAUUAGCUCACGUGUGGGUUAUUGCAGGUAUUGCAUGAAUAAGGACCGGCUAAUUCCGUGCCAGCAGCCGCGGUAAUACGGAAGGUCCGAGCGUUAUCCGGAUUUAUUGGGUUUAAAGGGAGCGUAGGCGGCCUUUUAAGCGUGUUGUGAAAUUCAGUUGCUCAACAUCUGACUUGCAGCGCGAACUGGGGGGCUUGAGUAUGCUGAAGGUAGGCGGAAUUCGUGGUGUAGCGGUGAAAUGCUUAGAUAUCACGAAGAACUCCGAUUGCGAAGGCAGCUUACUGCAGCUUAACUGACGCUGAUGCUCGAAAGCGUGGGUAUCGAACAGGAUUAGAUACCCUGGUAGUCCACGCGGUAAACGAUGGAUGCUCGUUGUUGGUAUGUAUAUAUCAGUGACCAAGUGAAAACGUUAAGCAUCCCACCUGGGGAGUACGCCGGCAACGGUGAAACUCAAAGGAAUUGACGGGGGCCCGCACAAGCGGAGGAACAUGUGGUUUAAUUCGAUGAUACGCGAGGAACCUUACCCGGGCUUGAACUGCAGCGGAACGAUUCAGAGAUGAUGAGGUCCUUCGGGACUGCUGCGGAGGUGCUGCAUGGUUGUCGUCAGCUCGUGCCGUGAGGUGUCGGCUUAAGUGCCAUAACGAGCGCAACCCCUUUUUAUAGUUGCCAUCGGGUAAUGCCGGGCACUCUGUAGAUACUGCCGCCGAAGGUGUGAGGAAGGCGGGGAUGACGUCAAAUCAGUCACGGCCCUUACGUCCGGGGCUACACACGUGUUACAAUGGCGCGUACAGCGAGUUGGUGUUAUGUGAGUAGCAUCUAAUCCUGAAAGCGCGCCUCAGUUCGGACUGGGGUCUGCAACCCGACCCCACGAAGCUGGAUUCGCUAGUAAUCGCGCAUCAGCCAUGGCGCGGUGAAUACGUUCCCGGGCCUUGUACACACCGCCCGUCAAGCCAUGAAAGCCGGGGGCGCCUGAAGUCCGUGACCGCAAGGGUCGGCCUAAGGUGAAACCGGUGAUUGGGGCUAAGUCGUAACAAGGUAGCCGUACCGGAAGGUGCGGCUGGAUCACCUCCUU